CCCAGGAACUCCAUGUGCUCCUCCCAUCAGGACCACAGCAUUUGGAGCCUUUGUAACAAGGUGACCAAGACUGAGGACACUAUCUUCCUUGUGAAUCACAUACAAGUCAGCAAAGGACAGAGCAAUGAACUGAUCUAGUCAGCUCUUUUGCACCUUGAUUGGCUGAUGAAAAUAACUUAUAGAAGAACAGAUCAUUUGGACCACAGAAUUACCCAAUCCAAGGCUACAUCCUCUCCACCAUAUUCAUGGAUACGGGCCCUGGUAUUUGCCCAAAUCUCAAGGGAGAAGCAAACAGCAGCCAAUUGUUAUUGAUCCUUAAGUGACAUAUUUCAYGGGAUAACAGUUGGGACAUGCUCCCUCAUUCCUGCCUAGGGCCUGCCCUGUUUGCUCCUAAGCGGUACCUGGAGCCAGAAGGCAGCACAUUCCAGAACAGGAACUCUGCACACAGCCACUGCCAUGGAAACCAGCUUCCCCAGUAACGCCAUCCUGUUGUCAUCUGCUUUGUUUCCUUGAGGACUGAAGAGAGAUGAGAAAAUGAUCUGCCGGACUGAAUCCUUGGUUUGUUCUUGGAAAUAAUUGCACAUGAUCUCAAGGAGUUGAAGUUCCUGAAGUGAAUUUAAUCUCUGAAAGAAAAGAGAAACAAAGCUGCAAAAUACCCUGGAGCUCUUGAAGACCAAGGGAUUGCUUUUGUGAAAGGCAAGUACAGCAAAGGCUGAGAGGUUCCCCAAAGCCUCAGAAACCCCGUCUACCUCUCCACAAUCUCUGUGCCUCUGUAGGGCAGUGUGCACAUAUGUAAGCUUCCUGAAGAACCACUGCAUUCACCUAGUUAUAUAAAAAAAGCCAUAGACAUUKGUGUAUACCAUAUGUAUAGCCUGCUAUACCAGACUAAUGGGAGCUGCACAACCAAGCACUGACUGUAAACUGAAAAAUAAGGUCUAUAACAAGUGUGGGGUAAAAAAGGAACGUUUUUU